AUUGAACGCUGGCGGCAGGCCUAAUACAUGCAAGUCGAGCGGAUGAACGGAGCUUGCUCCUGGAUUCAGCUGCGGACGGGUGGGUAAUGCCUAGGAAUCUGCCUGGUAGAGGGGGAUAAGGUCCGGUAACGGGCGCUAAUACCGCAUCCGUCCUGAUGUAGAAAGGGAGGGAUCUUCGGACCUCACGCUAUCUGAUGACCCUAGGUCGGAUUAGCUAGUUGGUGGGGUAAAGGCCUACCAAGGCGACGAACCAUAACUGGUCUGCGAGGAUGAUCUGUCACACUGGAACUGGGACACGGUCCAGACUCCUACGGGAGGCAGCAGUGGGGAAUUCUGGAGCAUUGGCGGAAGCCUGAUCGAGCCAAGCCGCGUGUGGGAAGAAGGGCUUCCGAUUGGUAAACACUUGAAGUUGGGGGAAAGGAAAGGAAGAUGAUACCUUGCUGGUUUGACGGUACCAUAAGAAUAAGCACCGGCCAACUUCGUU
rnacentral:rRNA from 1 species